CAUUACACAAAUAUGAAGGCGGGCUGGAACCUCUCGGGGUUACAGCCUUGCUGAAUUAUUCACCCUUGUCUUUUGCGUACUUCUUGUUUCCUUGGUGGGUUCGCCCACCACUAGGACAAACAUAAACCUUUUGUAAUUGCAAUCAGCGUCAGUAACAAAUUAAUAAUUACAACUUUCAACAACGGAUCUCUUGGUUCUGGCAUCGAUGAAGAACGCAGCGAAAUGCGAUAAGUAGUGUGAAUUGCAGAAUUCAGUGAAUCAUCGAAUCUUUGAACGCACAUUGCGCCCUUUGGUAUUCCAAAGGGCAUGCCUGUUCGAGCGUCAUUUGUACCCUCAAGCUUUGCUUGGUGUUGGGCGUCUUGUCUCUAGCUUUGCUGGAGACUCGCCUUAAAGUAAUUGGCAGCCGGCCUACUGGUUUCGGAGCGCAGCACAAGUCGCACUCUCUAUCAGCAAAGGUCUAGCAUCCAUUAAGCCUUUUUUUCAACUUUUGACCUCGGAUCAGGUAGGGAUACCCGCUGAACUUAAGCAUAUCAAUAAGCGGAGGAAAAGAAACCAACAGGGAUUGCCCUAGUAACGGCGAGUGAAGCGGCAACAGCUCAAUUUGAAAUCUGGCUCUUUUAGAGUCCGAGUUGUAAUUUGCAGAGGGCGCUUUGGCUUUGGCAGCGGUCCAAGUUCC
rnacentral:rRNA from 1 species